GUAUAGCCCAUUAGACUAGAAAUAUUAUGAAAUGGAUCCCUUAUGUUGUAGAUAUGUUUGAAUUUUUAUGUCGAGCCCUGAAUCUAUUAUCAUAAUUUUGUAUAGGCUGAAUGGUGCGGUGGUAGUGAGGCAAUAUAUAUCGGAAGCACAACGGAUCCUGAUACAAUGAGUAAACUGUUUGGCAUUUCUUCUGUUGAUGAAAUUCCUAGUCAGGGUGGCUUUCCGUGCUUGCGAUCAUAAGCCUGAGUGAGUUCAUUUAUUUUAUGAUUCUUUGGGGACUGAUCUUGCUGUUGAAGACUCUGAAUCAAUGGUUGAUUUAGGGUUUCUUCAGUUUGGGUAAUGUGAUGGUUGAUUUAGAGAUUCCGAAACCUGUUCAAUCAGGAUUAUUGCUUUCGUUUGUUAAGUUAUUGCAUCUGAUUCUUAUCUUCGGUUAUUCGAUGGCUUAGGAAUUUAAAAUUGAAAUGCUCUUACUUGGCUCAUUCACAACUGGUGCCAUUUUGUUGGUAGUUAUUUUUUGCCUUCAUGUUCCUUGUGAAGAAUUUUAAAACUAGCAUGAAACAUGGUCAAUAUCUACAGGAUGGACUCUCAGAGAUUAUAUAUUCAGGGCUAUGUUUGAUCUGUAACCAAGUCACUAAUAAACGGUUUAUGUUUAAUAUGUAAUAUGACGCUUUAUUUGUAUUUUGUUAUAUUUUAUUUAUAUACAAAUGAUUUAUCUAAA